rnacentral:ncRNA from 1 species
UUAAAGUUUUAUUCUUGCUUAAUUAUUUAUUUUUUCUUUAUAUUAUAUGUAAGUUUUGUUAAACUUAAUGUUCUUUUUGCAGUAAUUUAAUUUAAUUAUCAAUUAGUUUUGGAAUUAGAAAUUGAUUUAGUAUUGGCAUAAUUCGUGCCAGCAGCCGCGGUUAUUCGAUUAAUACAAAUAAAUAUUAUUGGUUAAAACAGUUAUUUAUAUUUUGGAUUUAAUUAUAAAUUUGAAGGGUGAAAUUUUAUUUUUUUUUAUAAUUCUUAUUAUGGAUCUGUGAAGUUUGAAUAAUAAACUAGGAUUAGAUACCCUAUUAUUUUAAAUGUUAAUUUUUCUUACCAGGGUAGUGUUAGGUAUGAUCUUUAAACCUAAAGAAUUUGGCGGUACCUUAUUCCAUUCAGAGGAACUUAUCCCGUAAUUGAUAAUACACGAUUAACUUUACUUGAUUUAUUUGUUUGUAUAUCUCCGUUAUCAGAAGAUCUUUUUAGAGUUAAAAUUUUCUUAAUUUAUUAUUUUAUAAUAUUUCAGGUCAAGGUGCAGCUUAUAAUUAAGAGGAGAUGAGUUACAAUAGAUUUUAUUUAUAAUGAAUUUAAUGGUGAAAACUAUUAAUGAAGGUGAAUUUGAUAGUAAUUUAAAUUAAUUAAUUUAUUUGAUAUUGGCUCUAAGGUGUGUACACAUCGCCCGUCACUCUCAUUAUUAAUAUUUAAUUUAGAAUUUUUAUUAUAAUAGGUUAUAAUUUAAAUGAGAUAAGUCGUAACAUAGUAGAUGUACUGGAAAGUGUAUCUAGUAAGGA